CAGGAUGAACGCUAGCGGCAGGCCUAACACAUGCAAGUCGAGGGGUAGUAAGUCUUCGGAUUUAUGAGACCGGCGCACGGGUGCGUAACGCGUAUGCAAUCUACCUUGUUCAAAGGGAUAGCCCAGAGAAAUUUGGAUUAAUACCUUAUAGUAUUAUAAAAUGGCAUCAUUUAAUAAUUAAAGAUUUAUCGGAACAAGAUGAGCAUGCGUCCCAUUAGCUAGUUGGUAUGGUAACGGCAUACCAAGGCAAUGAUGGGUAGGGGUCCUGAGAGGGAGAUCCCCCACACUGGUACUGAGACACGGACCAGACUCCUACGGGAGGCAGCAGUGAGGAAUAUUGGACAAUGGGCGCAAGCCUGAUCCAGCCAUGCCGCGUGCAGGAAGACGGUCCUAUGGAUUGUAAACUGCUUUUAUACAGGAAGAAACACCCCGACGUGUCGGGACUUGACGGUACUGUAGGAAUAAGGAUCGGCUAACUCCGUGCCAGCAGCCGCGGUAAUACGGAGGAUCCAAGCGUUAUCCGGAAUCAUUGGGUUUAAAGGGUCCGUAGGCGGGCUUAUAAGUCAGUGGUGAAAUCUCCCAGCUCAACUGGGAAACUGCCAUUGAUACUGUAGGUCUUGAAUUAUUAGGAAGUAACUAGAAUAUGUAGUGUAGCGGUGAAAUGCUUAGAUAUUACAUGGAAUACCAAUUGCGAAGGCAGGUUACUACUAAUGGAUUGACGCUGAUGGACGAAAGCGUGGGUAGCGAACAGGAUUAGAUACCCUGGUAGUCCACGCCGUAAACGAUGGAUACUAGCUGUUCGGAGCAAUCUGAGUGGCUAAGCGAAAGUGAUA
rnacentral:rRNA from 1 species